GUAAGCUAGAUGCCAGCCAGUGCUACACAGGGAGACCCUGGCUCAAACUAAGUGGCCUGCUUGAUUCGAGUUCCUUCUGAAGUGGUUAAGCAGAGGGCACAGGUGUCUGCUUCUUCAAAGACCUUGCAGAUCUUUUUGACUAUCUUAAGUGAAGAGGGCAUUCAAGGACUGUACCGAGGCUAUAAAAGCACAGUUUUAAGAGAGGAUUUAACAGUGCGUUCCAUUUGUGGCUUUUCUUUACUGUUCACUGUGUCAAACAUCAGGAAGCAGAGUCCACGCGCUGCAGUGAUGUAAUCUGCUGUCUGUGGCCUCCCAGAGAUGUCCAGUCAUCCGGACAUUGGUCGUGUCAAUUUUAAGAUGAAAAUACUUGGAAAAAAGAACAUUUAGCCAGCCUUCCUGCUGUGGCUGGAUUUCUUACUAUUUUGAGAAGGACCCCGUGGAAUGGACUUUUUCCUCAGUGCUAAAACCCAGCAGAAAUGUGUUCUCCUCAGAUGCGGCUCAGGGAGAGGGGAGAAGAAUUGCACAUGUCAGGAAAGCGCCCCAGGAUGGCAUUGUUGUGUGGAGCAUUGCUUUCAUCUCUGAGAUAUCUCACACCUGCUUCAUUUGGCACAGUGUUCCCAACAACCAGCAGACAGCCUGCCAGCCCAACCCCAGGCUUGCGGAAGCUAACAAGGAGCCAUAGCAAGCACCAGUGCUGUCGAAAAGCCCAGGGUACACAAACUUUUAGGUAGACAUUUGGGCUGUCAGCUUCGGGCCCAGCUCUCCAGUCUAACGCUGAAUAGAAGUGGUGAACACUGGAUAGAACUCAGAACAGCUUGCCCAUGUCCCCAGUCUCUAUCAAAGGUUGCCGAGGCUGGUAGCAGACAUCUUACCUGCUGAGAUAUCCUGCUGAUCCUUAUUCUUAUUUCUUAAGGAGGAGAAUUCCUUAUAGUCUGAUUCCUUUCUCCUUGGUCCAGUUUCCCUUGUGGGAAUCCUUGAAAGCCCUCUGGGCGUGGCGGCGGGGUCAUGUGGUGGAUUCUUGGCAGUCAGCAGUCUGCGGAGCUUUUGCAGGUGGCUUUGCAGCUGCAGUGACUACACCUCUGGACGUGGCUAAGACAAGGAUCAUGCUGGCAAAGGCGGGUUCCAGCACUGCUGUGGGGAACGUGCUCUCUGCCAUGCACGGGGUGUGGCGCUCACAGGGACUAGCCGGGUUAUUCGCAGGUGUCCUCCCGAGGAUGGCAGCAAUCAGCAUGGGCGGCUUCAUCUUUCUGGGCGCCUAUGACCAGGCGCGAAGCUUGCUGUUAGAGGUGGGCAGGAAGAGCCCAUGAAGCAGACACUACAUGUCCUUGCAGUCCUUCCUGUGCCUGGGGCUCCAGUGUGGCUCCCUGAAGAUGGCUGCAGAGAGCAGCUUAAUGAAGGCCAAAGCACAGGCUGCCCCAGGAAACUUUUCUUGGUGAAACUGGGGCCACCGUCUCAGUCCUCUCAAUAAAUACUCCCGGUAAGGCCAAGGCCAGGCCCUUC
rnacentral:lncRNA from 1 species